rnacentral:rRNA from 1 species
GAUAUCCCGGUUUAGUUGGAAGUAGGCGUGCGUUAGGCAAAUCCGGCGCACAUAUACCGAGGCCAACGAUCGAGCCAGCUUGCUGGUGAAGUGACUGAACGAGGUUCCAGGAAAAGCCACUAAGCUUCAGCUACACACGACCGUACCGCAAACCGACACUGGUGCGCGAGAUGAGUAUUCUAAGGCGCUUGAGAGAACUCAGGAGAAGGAACUCGGCAAAUUGACACCGUAACUUCGGAAGAAGGUGUGCCCUAUUAGUGUGAAGUGAACAACGGAGCAUGAAUGGGUUGCAAAAAAUCGGUGGCUGCGACUGUUUAUUAAAAACACAGCACUCUGCAAACACGAAAGUGGACGUAUAGGGUGUGACGCCUGCCCGGUGCUGGAAGAUUAAAUGAUGGGGUGCAAGCUCUUGAUUGAAGUCCCAGUAAACGGCGGCCGUAACUAUAACGGUCCUAAGGUAGCGAAAUUCCUUGUCGGGUAAGUUCCGACCUGCACGAAUGGCGUAACGUGCCACACUGUCUCCUCCUGAGACUCAGCGAAGUUGAAAUGUUUGUGAUGAUGCAAUCUCCCCGCGGAAAGACGGAAAGACCCCAUGAACCUUUACUGUAGCUUUGUAUUGGACUUUGAACAGAUCUGUGUAGGAUAGGUGGGAGGCUUUGAAGCAGGGUCGCUAGAUCUUGUGGAGCCAACGUUGAAAUACCACCCUGGUGUGUUUGAGGUUCUAACCUAGGUCCAUUAUCUGGAUCGGGGACAGUGCAUGGUAGGCAGUUUGACUGGGGCGGUCUCCUCCCAAAGCGUAACGGAGGAGUUCGAAGGUACGCUAGUUACGGUCGGACAUCGUGACGAUAGUGCAAUGGCAUAAGCGUGCUUAACUGCGAGACUGACAAGUCGAGCAGAUGCGAAAGCAGGACAUAGUGAUCCGGUGGUUCUGUAUGGAAGGGCCAUCGCUCAACGGAUAAAAGGUACUCUGGGGAUAACAGGCUGAUACCGCCCAAGAGUUCAUAUCGACGGCGGUGUUUGGCACCUCGAUGUCGGCUCAUCUCAUCCUGGGGCUGUAGCCGGUCCCAAGGGUAUGGCUGUUCGCCAUUUAAAGAGGUACGUGAGCUGGGUUUAAAACGUCGUGAGACAGUUUGGUCCCUAUCUUCCGUGGGCGCUGCAGAUUUGAGGAAGCCUGCUCCUAGUACGAGAGGACCGGAGUGGACACACCUCUGGUGUAUCGGUUGUCACGCCAGUGGCAUUGCCGAGUAGCUAAGUGUGGAAGAUAACCGCUGAAAGCAUCUAAGCGGGAAACUCGUUUCAAGAUGAGAUCUGCCGGGGCCUUGAGCCCCCUAAAGAGUCGUUCAAGACCAGGACGUUGAUAGGUCAGGUGUGGAAGCGCAGUAAUGCGUUAAGCUAACUGAUACUAAUUGCUCGUGCGGCUUGACCCU